UGGUGGCGAGCGGCGGACGGGUGAGUAAUGCCUAGGAAUCUGCCUGGUAGUGGGGGAUAACGCUCGGAAACGGACGCUAAUACCGCAUACGUCCUACGGGAGAAAGCAGGGGACCUUCGGGCCUUGCGCUAUCAGAUGAGCCUAGGUCGGAUUAGCUAGUUGGUGAGGUAAUGGCUCACCAAGGCGACGAUCCGUAACUGGUCUGAGAGGAUGAUCAGUCACACUGGAACUGAGACACGGUCCAGACUCCUACGGGAGGCAGCAGUGGGGAAUAUUGGACAAUGGGCGAAAGCCUGAUCCAGCCAUGCCGCGUGUGUGAAGAAGGUCUUCGGAUUGUAAAGCACUUUAAGUUGGGAGGAAGGGCAGUUACCUAAUACGUGAUUGUUUUGACGUUACCGACAGAAUAAGCACCGGCUAACUCUGUGCCAGCAGCCGCGGUAAUACAGAGGGUGCAAGCGUUAAUCGGAAUUACUGGGCGUAAAGCGCGCGUAGGUGGUUUGUUAAGUUGGAUGUGAAAUCCCCGGGCUCAACCUGGGAACUGCAUCCAAAACUGGCAAGCUAGAGUAUGGUAGAGGGUGGUGGAAUUUCCUGUGUAGCGG
rnacentral:rRNA from 1 species